GUGAGGGAUCCAGUGUACAGUGGUGUUCCUGGCGAGGCAGGCCCCUCUGGGCAAACCACCAUGGAAGAGCUUUUCGGCAGCAGCGACUCUGACGAUGACCAGCCACGCGGCGUUGCCUCUGCAACAGCCUCUUCAGGCGCAGGUAACGGUUGACGCAGAAAUCCUGCUUUGCUCCCUUCGUGUGGAUGGAGACUGGAGGCGCAGCGCUGGUGCAAUCCAUGACAUGCAUGUCCAAUGAAUUUGGCAAAGGUGGCUUAAAGUCAGAGCAGCUCACUUUGUUCCUUGAAAGCGCUGGGCUUGGGAUGUCAAAGGCAGCUGCCAGCAGAGCCUGAUACAUUAUGAAGCAGAAGGCUCAUUAUGUAUAUCAGAUCAUGUCGAACGAGAAUUUUUACGGGUCUAUGCAAGACUUCUACUUAUUCACAGGGUUCGUGAUUGCGCAGGACCUAGCGGUAGGAGAACUGAUCCAGCGAGAAGCGGCAGCAAUGGGUCUGGGGCAAAAUCAUUACAACGAGCAGGGUCUAGACGGCGGGAGGGGACUUUGCCAGAGGCCGUCAGGAACGCCCUCGCAGCCCAGGCGC
rnacentral:lncRNA from 1 species